rnacentral:rRNA from 1 species
UCAAUGAAAUUUAAAUAGCCGCAAUAUACUUGUGCUAAGGUAGCAUAAUCAUUUGUCUUUUAAUUAAAGACUGGAACAAAAGAUUUAACAUUUUUAUUUCUUUUUUAACAAUAUUAUAUAUAAUUUAUAUUAAAUAUAAAAAUAUAUUUAUAAUUUAAAAAGACGACAAGACCCUAUUGAACUUAACUAAAGUUUAACUGGGGCAGUUAAUUAAACACAAUUUUAAUUUAAAUUUAUCAAACAUCUAAUAUAAUUAAAUACAUCAAGUUACCAUAGGGAUAACAGCGUAAUAAUUUUCUAUAGAUCUUAUUUAAAAAAUAUUUUGCGACCUCGAUGUUGAAUUAAUAAUCUAUUAAAUGCAAUAAUUUAAUAAGAAAGUC